GAACCCUGCUACUCAGCCAGGGUUCGAGAUCAAGCUUUGGGUGGUGGAGUGCAAGGGGAAUGGCUUAGUGGGUAGGGCCCUAAAAAGUCCUUGGGCCCAGAAUUCGCUCCCAACUUCUACUGACCCUCAGGUUCCACAUAUGCCCUAGACGCAGACAACUCGUAUGAAUGUAUCGCACAUUAUUAUUAUCAUUAUAACGAGUAUAUACGAACUUUGUUUGAAAAUUAAAUUCCACAAAAUGUUGUUUUAUAUGUUAUAAAUCGAACGAGACGAAGAUAAAAUAAAAUAACAACACAGUAAAGUAAUGAGAAUUCACCGAAGCAUCAGAUAUAUUUCUGGAUUAACCCGAGAAAUCACUUCCAGCGACUCUGUUUCAUUUUCCCACACUUGUUCCUGCGAACAUCUGUAUGUUAAACGGAUCCCUUUGCCUUUGAACAGAAAUGUUGUUGUAAUGCUUUUUAAAGUAUACAAUGCUAACGGACUCGCACCCGGGAUCACUCCUGAUCAGAUACGUAAUUAUGACUGAGGAAAGCUGAAACUAGUCUUGCUAGUAUUAUUUUCGUUUUAUUGGAGAUUUUGUUUUGAUACGUGUGUUUUGUUUGUGUUUUGACGGCAAAUCUCCUUAAAUAUAUUGACGGUUGAAUGCGAUAUUUCGCUUAACAAGUAGAGCCGGUAGAGUUAACAUUGUUAUUUGUAUUUUGACAUUCAACAAGUGUGUCAUACUGACAUCUAAGUUGAAAUAAAUGAUUUUGAAUUUGAA